GACGAACGCUGGCGGCGUGCUUAACACAUGCAAGUCGAACGGAAAGGCCCUGCUUUUGUGGGGUGCUCGAGUGGCGAACGGGUGAGUAACACGUGAGUAACCUGCCCUUGACUUUGGGAUAACUUCAGGAAACUGGGGCUAAUACCGGAUAGGAGCUCCUGCUGCAUGGUGGGGGUUGGAAAGUUUCGGCGGUUGGGGAUGGACUCGGGGCAUAUCAGCUUGUUGGUGGGGUAGUGGCUUACCAAGGCUUUGACGGGUAGCCGGCCUGAGAGGGUGACCGGCCACAUUGGGACUGAGAUACGGCCCAGACUCCUGCGGGAGGCAGCAGUGGGGAAUAUUGCACAAUGGGCUGAAGCCUAAUGCAGCAACGCCGCGUGCGGAAUAACGGCCUUCGGGUUGUAAACCGCUUUCGCCUGUGACGAAGCGUGAGUGACGGUAAUGGGUAAAGAAGCACCGGCUAACUACGUG
rnacentral:rRNA from 1 species